rnacentral:pre_miRNA from 1 species
GCAAGCUCGGAGCAGUGAACUUUACCAUGGAACCGGGACUAUUUCACAUAAUCACGUGACCCUGGUUUCGUUGUAAAGUUUUCUUUACUGAGCUGACCAAUC